rnacentral:misc_RNA from 1 species
GAUGAAGAACGCAGCGAAAUGCGAUAAGUAAUGUGAAUUGCAGAAUUCAGUGAAUCAUCGAAUCUUUGAACGCACAUUGCGCCCUCUGGUAUUCCGGGGGGCAUGCCUGUUCGAGCGUCAUUAUAACCACUCAAGCUCUCGCUUGGUAUUGGGGUUCGCGGUUUCGCGGCCCCUAAAAUCAGUGGCGGUGCCUGUCGGCUCUACGCGUAGUAAUACUCCUCGCGAUUGAGUCCGGUAGGUCUACUUGCCAGCAACCCCCAAUUUUUACAGGUUGACCUCGGAUCAGGUAGGGAUACCCGCUGAACUUAAGCAUAUCAAUAAGCGGAGGA